AACUGGCUUUAAGGGUUUGGGGCAAGAAUGACCCAGAGGGCAAGAGUGUCCCACCAUGUCGGGGACAUGUGAUAGCCACAUGACAUCACAGGGGGCAGGGGCCGCCAUCAUGCGGUAAAACAUUGUUUUCUAGACUUCACUGCAAAGUUAUUGCUUUAAGAAUUUUAAGGUGGAAGGAGAUAACAUUUUCAGAGAACAUGUAAUGACGCAAACAAAGUGACAUAUGUGAUGCUAAGCAUAGGCUUAACGCUAGAGCCAGCGUGGCUUCAAAUGAGGGGAGCUCCCUGCCUUGCCUCCCUGAGGUGGGCUGACUUUUGUCACUGGGCCUCUCUCGCGGCUGGGGCAGGGGAAGGAGGACACGAGUUCAUUUUCCGUGGGCAUUUCUAUGCACGGCCUUCAUCCUCAGCCACUGCUGUGGAGUCAAAGGGAAGAGGGGCUGAUCCGGACCACACCGAGCCGCCAGCGAACAACACCUGGGGGGAGCACAGGAAGUCCCCCAGAAGCACCCCCUGCACUGCUGGUCAGCAGCAGGCUGCCCGGCCAGAGGGCACUCGGGCCGUCCACAGCUCCGCCAAGACAAGCCCGGACCUGCCUCUGACAUGAAUCCUCUGAUUUGUUCAAUCAAGGUUGUGGACUUCGUGAGCUGGAAAACCAGAAGCAGACCUUCUGGGCCCGAGGCAAGAGGUUUCCGAGAACAGUGAGCAGCUCUGUGUCCCGAGGCUGGGCUCCUGCUUAAGAUGGACAAGCUGCCCCUCAGGGCCACCAGCAGGACUUGGCUCGUGCUUCCAGGCACUGGUGUCCCCCUGACCCCAGCUGGUGGGACCUCCUCUACACACUGUUACCCCCCUUCACUACGGUCAUGCCCACUAGGGCCAUGUAACUCUGUUACAGCUGGUGAUCCUGGUCAAGCUCAGUGGCCACUGCUGGACCUCUGACAGAGCCCUCCUGAGAUGCCACUGAAUGUGGCUGUCCAUAUCUCUAAGUCCUGGGCCACAGCUGAAGUGAUUGGAUCUCCUGUGCCUCUGGGCUUCUCCCAACACUUCAAGGUCAUGGACAGACACAGCCAGGAGUGAACCAAAGCUGUGGCGGCCUCAGCUCAAGCUCUUCCAGCUUUGGCCCCUGGGAGCUCUUUUCCUCAGCUCCUGUGUCUCUUUGACAUUUUGACAUUACUGUUUGGGAGGGUACACUUCCUACCUCUUUGGAGACUUUUGACUCCCCUGAUGUCAGAUGUCAGAUGCGGGUGAGACGCGGACUGAGUCCCUCUUCAUUCACCCGGGCAGCUGGCUCCUGGGCCUCUGAACCCCAGGCCUUGGCUGUGCCUCUGAUCAGGGGGACCUCGGAGCUGCCGCACACGCUGAACUUUAGACCUUGCCCUUUCCUUCCUCCUGCAGCCACUGCCCCGUAGAAACAGGGCCCUUCCCCAGCUGAGUGUGCCCGGUUCUGGCCCCAGAGAAGCUCGGUAACCUUAGUAAUGAAACUAUAUCCCCCGUGUGUGUGAAUAAACUUCUUUAGAGGACGAAACAAAACAGAAAAA